UGGGGAAUCUUGCACAAUGGGGGAAACCCUGAUGCAGCGACGCCGCGUGAGCGAUGAAGGUUUUCGAAUCGUAAAGCUCUGUCCUAUGGGAAGAUAAUGACGGUACCAUAGGAGGAAGCCCCGGCUAACUACGUGCCAGCAGCCGCGGUAAUACGUAGGGGGCGAGCGUUGUCCGGAAUUACUGGGCGUAAAGGGUUCGCAGGCGGCAUGACAAGUCCGAUGUAAAAGGCGAAAGCUCAACUUUCGUAAGCAUCGGAAACUGUCAAGCCUGAGUGAAGGAGAGGCAAGUGGAAUUCCUAGUGUAGCGGUGGAAUGCGUAGAUAUUAGGAGGAAUACCGGUGGCGAAGGCGACUUGCUGGACUUCAACUGACGCUGAGGAACGAAAGCGUGGGUAGCAAACAGG
rnacentral:rRNA from 2 species